UACGGGGGGGGCAAGCGUUUGUUCGGAAUUACUGGGCGUAAAGGGCUCGUAGGCGGCCAACUAAGUCAGACGUGAAAUCCCUAGGCUCAACCUAGGAACUGCGUCUGAUACUGGAUGGCUUGAAUCCGGGGAGAGGGAUGCAGAAUUCCAGGUGUAGCGGUGAAAUGCGUAGAUAUGCGGAGGAACACCGAUGGCGAAGGCAUCCCUGGCUGCACUGACGCUCAUGCACGAAAGCGUGGGGAGCGAAACAAGG
rnacentral:rRNA from 1 species